rnacentral:rRNA from 1 species
GUACACAGAGAGCUUGCUCCCGGGUGACGAGCGGCGGACAGGUGAGUAAUGUCUGGGAAACUGCCUGAUGGAGGGGGAUAACUACUGGAAACGGUAUCUAAUACCGCAUAACGUCUCACGACCAAAGAGGGGGACCUUCUGGCCUCUUGCCAUCUCAUGUGCCCAGAUGGGAUUAUCUAUUAUGUGGGGUAACGGCUCUCCUAUGCGACAAUCCCUAUCUGGUCUGAGAGGAUGACCCCCCACACUGGAACUGAGACACGGUCCACACUCCUACGGGAGGCGGCAGUGGGGAAUAUUGCACAAUGGGCGCACGCCUGAUGCACCCCUGCCGCGUGUGUGAAAAAAGCCUUCUGGUUGUAAAGUACUUUCUCCGGGGAGGAAAGUGUUGAGGUUAAUAACCUCUCCAAUUGACGUUACCCGCACAAAAAACACCGGCUAACUCCGUGCCACCACCCGCGGUAAUACGGAGGGUGCGAGCGUUAAUCUCAAUUACUGGGCGUAAAGCGCACGCACGCGGUCUGUCAAGUCUGAUAUGAAAUCCCCGGGCUCAACCUGGGAACUGCGUUCUAAACUGUCAGGCUAUAGUCUUGUAUAGGGGGGGUAUAAUUCUAGGUGUAUCGGUGAAAUGCGUAUAGAUCUGUAGGAAUACCGGUGGCGAAGGCGGCCCCCUGUACAAAGACUGACACUCACGUGCGAAAGCGUGUGGAGCACACACGAUUAUAUACCCUGGUAGUCCACGCCGUAUACGAUAUCUACUUGUAGGUUGUGCCCUUGAGGCGUGUCUUCUGGAGCUAACGCGUUAAGUCUACCGCCUGUGGAGUACAGCCGCACGGUUAUAACUCUCAUGUAUUGACAGGGGCCCGCACAAGCGCUGGAGCAUGUGGUUUAUUUCUAUGCACCGCGCAGAACCUUACCUACUCUUGACAUCCAGAGAACUUUCCACAGAUGUAUUGUUGCCUUCUCGAACUCUGAGACAGGUGCUGCAUGGCUGUCGUCACCUCUCGUUGUGAAAAGUUGGGGUUAAAUCCCGCAACAAAGAGCAACCCCUUUUCUUUUUUUGUCCACCGGUUCUGCCCGGGAACUCUAAAGAGACUUCCCCUUGUUAAAUUGGGGGAAAAGUGGGGGAUGACGACUCAGUCCUCCUUGGGCCCUUACAAGAAAGGGGGCUACCCCCUUGU